rnacentral:rRNA from 1 species
GACGAACGCUGGCGGCGUGCUUAACACAUGCAAGUCGAACGGAAAGGCCCCUUUGGGGGUACUCGAGUGGCGAACGGGUGAGUAACACGUGAGUAACCUGCCCUUGACUUCGGGAUAACUUCAGGAAACUGGGGCUAAUACCGGAUAGGAAUCCUUGCUGCAUGGUGGGGGUUGGAAAGCUUCGGCGGUUUUGGAUGGACUCGCGGCUUAUCAGCUUGUUGGUGGGGUAGUGGCUUACCAAGGCUUUGACGGGUAGCCGGCCUGAGAGGGCGACCGGCCACAUUGGGACUGAGGGGCGGCCCAGGCUGCGACGGGAGGGAGCAGGGGGGAAGAUUGCAGGAGGGGCGGAGGCCUGAUGCAGAAGCGCCGCGGGCGGGAUGACGGCCUUCUGGGUGUAGACCGCUUUCAGCAGGAGCGAAGCUUGUGGUGACGGUACCUGAAGAAGAAGCACCGGCUAACUACGUG